rnacentral:rRNA from 1 species
UGGGGAAUAUUGGACAAUGGGCGGAAGCCUGAUCCAGCCAUGCCGCGUGUGUGAAGAAGGCCUUUUGGUUGUAAAGCACUUUAAGCGAGGAGGAGGCUACUUGGAUUAAUACUCUAGGAUAGUGGACGUUACUCGCAGAAUAAGCACCGGCUAACUCUGUGCCAGCAGCCGCGGUAAUACAGAGGGUGCGAGCGUUAAUCGGAUUUGCUGGGCGUAAAGCGUGCGUAGGCGGCUUCUUAAGUCGGAUGUGAAAUCCCUGAGCUUAACUUAGGAAUUGCAUUCGAUACUGGGAAGCUAGAGUAUGGGAGAGGAUGGUAGAAUUCCAGGUGUAGCGGUGAAAUGCGUAGAGAUCUGGAGGAAUACCGAUGGCGAAGGCAGCCAUCUGGCCUAAUACUGACGCUGAGGUACGAAAGCAUGGGGAGCAAACAGG